CUUAACCAUUUAUUAAUACUCUCAUUGAAGGAUAUUUUAGGAAGGGUAUCUGGCAACAGCAUCCCAUCACUUCAAGUUGACUCUCAGUUCUCGCCUCAGUUGCUCUCUGGCCGGUGCAGGAAAAGGUUACGCGCCGCGCCGCUCCCUCCCUCACUGAGUUGACCUCCCCCCUGUGACCUAACGUGACCCUGUUUGUGUGUGUGACCUGACCUGGCGAGUGUGCGGUGUGGAGGCGCGGAAUUUAAAGAGACGGUGAGAGGGAACUGAAUUAGAGAAAAAAAAAUAUUAAUAAACAAAAAAAAAUAGAGAAAAUAAAGAAAGAGAGAGAGAGAGAGAGAUAAAACACUUGACCGCUUGAGAAAUUUAUGAUAAGAGAGAUAUAUAAAGAAAAAUAGCCCAAAUACGAACAAAAAAAUAGCCAAAGAAGAGAAAAUAGAAAAAUAGCCCAAUACGAGAGAAAAAACAGCCCAACACGAGAGAAAAAUAGCCCAAGAAGAGAAAUUUGAAAAACUAGCCCAAUACGAGAGAAAAAUAGCCCAAGGAAAGGAAAAAAAUAGCCCAAAUAAGAUUGAUAAACAAGAAAACAAAAAAAAUGAAUAAAAGAGACGAAAUUAAUUAAGAAGAGGAGAAAGAAGCGAUUUUGUGAUGUGAUGCUUGCAGCUAUGGAGGCAAAAAGCAGCAGCAGCAGCAGCAGCAGCAGCAGCAGCAGCAGUAGUAGUAGUGGAAUUAAGAAAGAGUUAGGAAGGGAAGAGGGGCAGGAGACAGCUGGCCGCCUCUCCCCUCCCCCCACCAGCUCCCCCCAGGACCCCUAAAGGAAUAAGGAGUGACUCACAGAAAAUGGAAACAGGAGGAGGCGGUGGUGGUGGUGGUGGUGGCGGCGGCGGUGGUGGUGGUAGUAGCAGCGUUGCCAACCCCAGCGCUACCACUAACGGCAGCAGUGUUACCAACGGCGUGGUGGUGGGGGGAGGGGGAGGGGAGAGGCCGCCCCCUGUGCCCCCUCCCCACCCGUACUCCCCCCUGUCCCUACCCACAAGACGUCGUACACAAACGGCGCCCACUCCCCACACAGCGCGAUAAACGGGACACCUACACCUUCCCCGCCCGCGCUGACCUCACCCCCCACGGCUGUUCACGACCACGCCCACGCCACGCCUGGGAGAGACACACAGAGACAAAUUGCAAAGGUUCGGCGGUUCCUCACCACUCUGCAUCAAUUUGCUGCCGAUAUUUCUCAAGACGUUGGGGAGAGAGUGAGGCAUCUCGUCCUGGGCCUACUGAGCGGCGCAGUGACAGUGGAAGAAUUUCACGUGGGAUUGCAGGAGGUGACCCACUUCCCGCUUCGCCCCUUCGUGUUGCCCUUCCUGCGGUCACACCUGCCCCUGCUGCAACACCACCUGCACGCCUUGGCCAGGAGAGCAGCCAUGCCUGUGUCUCAGUACGUGGCAGUUCACGAGGCAGCCGCCCUGGACGCAGCCUCAGGAGAACCCACUGACUUCUUCUCCUCGGAGGUCACCCCGGGCAAGCGGCGCCAUGAUGGGUACUUCGAAAAUGGAGACGGAGGAGGAGGAGGAGGCGGAGGAGGAGGAGGAGGAGGAGGAGGAGGAGGAGGGGGAGGAGGAGGAGGAGGGGGUUCUCUCUCCCCUCCGCCCAGCAAGAGAGUGGGGGGCCUUUUCUCUCCCCCCUACCCUAGUGUGGGGGUGAGCCCAGACCCCCCUGCCCCCCACCCGAGGGAGUACCGCACCCCAGUCCCCCCCGGACGAUGAAUGGAAGAAUAUUCACGUGAUGCUGACAUGCAUUCUUAGCAUGGUAGAGAAAACAAGAAGAGCUUUAACAAUAUUACAAGAACGAGAAGGAGGAGGAGGAGGAGGAGGAGGAGGAGGAGGAGGAGGAGGAAGACAAGGAGGAGGAGGAGGAGGAGAGGUGAAAAGUCGACAGGAAUACGACGCUGAGGUCAGAAGAUACGCCGCUGAGUUGGUGGCACAGUCAAUAAGGACAACAGAAGAGAGGGUUUCGGAAGUGAAGAGAAAAGCAGAGGAGGCGGUGUCUGAGGUGCGUAGGGCGGCAGUGGCGGAGGUGCAGCGGGCGGUGGGGGCGGCUGAAGCAAGAGCACAAGAACUGGUAGCAGCGGAAAGAGCGAAAGUAGACGUCCUAUUGAGAGAGGUGGGGAGAAGAGACCCUGCAGAACCCCGCAUUGAUCCCCAGCAGGCGUGCUGGAACUGCGGGAGGAAGGCUCAUGAAACUUGUAGCGGUUGUAAUAUAGCGAGGUAUUGUGGGCCUUUUUGUCAACACAAGGACUGGGACGGUCAUCACAAGGUCUGUUCCCCUGGUCUCUCCUCCUCCUCCUCUUCCUCCUCCUCUUCCUCUUCCUCCACGCCCGCUUCUUCCUCUUCCACGGCCCUCGUUGCUGCUCUCGUGUCCAAAGCUAAGUUUACAAAGUCCAUUCCUGAUGUUACGAAGGGCGAGUGAUUGUUUACUUCUUGUUUACAUAGCAGUUGUUUACAUGUAUGUGUGUGUGAGGGAGGGAGGGAUUCUACAUGUGUGUGUGUGUGUGUGUGUGUGUGUGUGUGUGUGUGGAAACAAGUACUAAAUGCAAACAGCUGCGUGUGUAUGUGUGUGUAUGAAUGUAAACAAGUUGAAACUAAGACAAAUUCGCUUGUGAGUGCAAACAAAACAAGGUGAUAAUUGUAAACAGUCACUGAAGGCAGAGAAAAACACAUGGUCAGAGUAAACAAGGCCAUGUUUCUGUGUAAACAACUAUUUAACGCAACAGAAAUAUGUAGUGAAAGGUGAAAAUUAAUACUAGGUAAACAAAGCCACGUGUGCCAUUGUAAACAAGUCUGGAAGGUAAACAAAGCCACGUGUGCCAGUGUAAACAAGUCUGGAAGGUAAACAAAGCCACGUGUGCCAGUGUAAACAAGUCUGGAAGGUAAACAAAGCCACGUGUGUCAGUGUAAACAAGUCUGGAAGGUAAAGAAAGCUACGUGUGCCAGUCUAAACAAGUCUGGAAAGUAAACAAAGCCACGUGUGCCAGUGUAAACAAGUCUGGAAGGUAAACAAAGCCACGUGUGCAAUUGUAAACAAGCCUGGAAGGUAAAAAAAGCCACGUGUGUCAGUGUAAACAAGUCUGGAAGAUAAAGAGUCACGUGAUGGGUAUAAACAAACUGAAGAUAAAACAAGACUACUAGUAAACAAAUUUUGGGUGUAAACAAAACCACGUGGUCAGUGUAAACGACCAUUAGAGCUAAAAAGCCAAUUGACAUGUAAACAGACGCUGGAUGUAAACAAAUCCACGUGGCGAGUGUACAAAUGCAAACAAAAUGGCGUGACAACUGUAAACAAGAAGUGACGGCAAACAAAACAACAUAAACAACGCCAGGAAGUAACGCCACGUGGGGAGUGUAAACAGUGCUAUGUCUUGAGUGUAAACAAAGAUUUCUGGCAAACAAAAGCAGUUGAAACAAACAAAAAUGAACAGAGAGAGUCACAUGACGGUGUAAACAAAAUAACUUGUUGGAAAAGUGAUUCAUAAACAAGUGAGGUGCUCUGUAAACAAAUAAACAAACAAAUAAACAAAUAGUCAAAGUAAACAAUGGCUAUAGAGACACGUUACACAAACAAUACAAACAAAUAUAGCUGUAAACAAAGAUGAUAAGUGCAAACAAACUUACAAACAGUGUCUAGUAAGGUCAAGAUUGCAUGUAAACAGUGCCAUAGCGUGAAUGUAAACAAAAAACAAACAUGUAAACAAUCCUGCGUGUUGUGUACGAAUGUAAACAAGGAAGCUGUAAACAAAUUAAACGGGACAUGGAUAGCGUUACAUAAUGAACGAAGAAAGUGUAAACAAUAAUAUAUCUCGUCACGUGUAAUGCAGACAGUGUUGAAUGCAAACAAGAUGGCACAAAGAGAGAGUAUUCAUGUCACAGAAGCAAACAAUUAUCACUACAGAGACGAAAAUGUAUGCAAACAAUAUUUAGUGCCGAGAAAAUGUAAACAGAAAUUAUAAACAUGAAUACUUGGGAGGCGUAGACAGAAAUGUAAACAAAACCACAUGGUGAAUGUAAACAAAACCACGUGGUCAAUGUAAACAAAACCACGUGGUCAAUGUAAACAAAACCACGUGGUCAAUGUAAACAAAACCACGUGGUCAAUGUAAACAAAACCACGUGGAUAAUGUAAACAAAACCACGUGGUCAAUGUAAACAAAACCACGUGAUGUAAACAAAACCAAAAGAAGGGCCAGUAAGGGAGGUGUAAACACAAAGUAAACAAACAGGUACAUGUGCUCAAAUGUAAACAAGGCCAGAGUGAAGCUUGUUAGGUGUAAACAAAGCAAACAAAACCAGGUACUAGUGUAAGGAAGGUCAUUAUAUGUAAACAAACAAACGAAAUACUGAUGUAAGAGAGAGAGAGAGAGAGAGAGAGAGAGAGAGAGAGAGAGAGAGAGAGAGAGAGAGAGAGAGAGAGAGAGAGGCUUAAUAAACCAAAGAACUUAGAUUAGAGAGAGAGAGAGAGAGAGAGAGAGAGAGAGAGAGAGAGAGAGAGAGAGAGAGAGAGAGAGAGAGAGAGAGUUAUAUUUGUCUAGUCUGAGAUGUCAAAAAUAAUAAUAAUAAUAAUAAUAAUAAUAAUGAUAAUAAUAAUAAGAAGAAGAAGAAGAAGAAGAAGAAGAAGAAGAAUGAGUUUGUUAUCAUUAUUGUUGUCAUUAUUAUUAUUAUUAUUAUUAUUAUUAUUAUUAUUAUUAUUAUUAUUAUUAUUAUUAUUAUUAAUAUUGUGAGAGGAAUAAGAGUUUUCAUUUAUUUUUAUCAUUAUUAUUAUUAUCGUUAUUUUUAUCUGAAUGUACACACACACACACACACACACACACACACACACACACACACACACACACACACACACACACACACACACACACACGACA